CCUCCAGAUCCCAUUCUUGGAGUUUCUGAAGCGUUCAGAGCAGAUACUCAUGAAAUGAAGCUUAACCUGCUGCCUAUCGGAUUGAAGAUCUACAGCCGCAGAAAAUCUUAUUCUGGAAAGGGGAGACAACAAAGAGGUUGCCACUGUCCAGGGUCUUUCAGGAACUGGCUCUUUGCUGCUUGCUGUAGUGAUCAUAGGAUCUGAGGGCUGUAGAUUAGAAAACGG